rnacentral:rRNA from 1 species
GAUGAACGCUGGCGGCGUGCCUAAUACAUGCAAGUCGAGCGAACAGACGAGGAGCUUGCUCCUCUGACGUUAGCGGCGGACGGGGGAGUAACACGUGGAUAACCUACCUAUAAGACUGGGAGAACUUCGGGAAACCGGAGCUAAUACCGGAUAAUAUAUUGAACCGCAUGGUUCAAUAGUGAAAGACGGUUUUGCUGUCACUGAUAGAGGGAUCCGCGCCGCAUUAGCUAGUUGGUAAGGUAACGGCUUACCAAGGCGACGAUGCGUAGCCGACUUGAGAGGGUGAUCGGCCACCCUGGAACUGAGACACGGUCCAGACUCCUACGGGAGGCAGCAGUAGGGAAUCUUCCGCAAUGGGCGAAAGCCUGACGGAGCAACGCCGCGUGAGUGAUGAAGGUCUUCGGAUCGUAGAACUCUGUUAUUAGGGCAGACCAAAUGUGUAAGUAACUAUGCACGUCUUGACGGUACCUAAUCAGAAAGCCCCGGCUAACUACGUG